AAAAUGGAGACAACUGUACUUAAACAACAAUAAGAAAAAGUUUAAAAAAGAUGGAGCUUCCACCAGCCUUAAUUCCCUUAGAUGGGAAGUACUUCCCUACCAACCUUGUAUUGACUUACAGCAUCAUAAGAAAUAAACUUUCAUUAUUUUAAGCCAGUGAGAUUUUUGAGGUUAUUAUUGCAACAUAACUUUGCCUAUCUCUUUUACAUUUAGUUUUAAUUAUAAUUGACAUACAAUAUUAUAUUAGUUUCAGAUAUGCAAUAUAGAACUUUAAAGGUUGAUGGACAGCAAACAUCUUGGUUAUGAAGACCAAAGAAUACCUGAAGGAGGUUAUAGGGUAAAGCAAGGGUGAUUAUUAUUGUUAAUUUUACCAUGUGUUGUUCAGGAUAAUAUCUUUGACUAAGUUAAGAAAGAAAUUCUGUUGCUGUAACAUUUGAAGUAGUAAUGUCCUUGAGUAGAACAGAAAGAAGUACAAAAGUGGAGGAUUUACCUUAGAUAGAAACAAGGACACUUUAUUCAUUGCAAGAAAAGAAUAGCUAUAGAUACAGGUGCAAGAAGACUGGUAGAUGGGGUGUGGUUUACCAUCCUCUCUGAUUUUUCUACUCUCAGUUACAUAAGUAGCUGGGUUAUCAACUAAAAGAGGAAUGGGAAAGAUGUGGGAAGUUUGAAGACAGAGAAGGAACAAAAUCAAUACCUGUGAAACUUGGUGAAUUCUAAUGGCCAGUAUCAGUGGUCCAAUUGACACAGUUUUGAAUUUAAAAUGAGACCACAGAAUAGGUAUUUUUGAGGCAUUCCAGCUACUAGAGUAGUUACACAUACUAGAGUAUGUGUAAAGCAGCUGGUUAGGAUUUUUCCAGGGAAGUAGGACAGUGAGAGUGCUAUAAUAGAAGUGAGGAUGAAUGUAAAGGAAUCUAAGCCAGGUAAGGAGUGAAUUGAAUAUAUGGUAAGACAAGGAAGUGUGAAAAUGUAGAAGAGUCAAUGUGAUUGAACAGCUCUUAUAGUCAAAAUACUAGGAGGAAUGAGCUGAAAUUGAAAAGAGUUUGAAUCUGCGAUUAUGAAUGAGGUAUAGUUAUAAUCUGUGGAUGGGUGGGGAGGAUAGGUGAAAGAAUGCUUUAAAGAACUAAGAGGUCAAGAUAUGAGAAGUACCAUUGUGUGGAUGUUUAAAUCCCAAAGAAACAGAAGAGGAGUAGCAAUAGAGACACAAUAAAUUAAAUGCUACAGUAUAGGAGUAAAGAGUAGAGAUCUGGAAGCCGACUGAUAACAGCAAGGAAGGGUAAAGCUUAUAUAGUAGCCUGAUGGCAUGAACUUCAAAGAAAUUAAGUAGUUUAGGGAAAGAAGAGGAUAAUAGUUUGUCAGUAGUAAUGGAGAACAGAAAAAAUGCCUCACCUCCAGACUUAAUGGCUUAGGAUAAGAAAGCACUAUCUUUGAGGAUUUCAGUUACAACUGGAAAAAAAGGAUGAAAGAAGAGUACACUGAAAAGCUUGAAGAUGUAGCUGAUUUUGCUCAAAUGGACUAGAAUUCCAGGGUUCACAAUGGAAGGAUAUAAAAGAAUUGGGGAGUGGGUAGCAUAUCAGAUCAAGGGACUUUCUGAGCCUAAUUAGGAUGGUUUUCAUGAUUAGGAAUGACCCGAGGGCCUUAGGUUUCUAGCGAGUAAGGUUAACAGAGAUGUGGGGUAUAAUAGGAAUAAUGCCCACAGCGUCUUAGGCAGAUUGUGUUGAUGACACUAUGAUUUGGAGGAGAGAGAAACAGGAUCCACCAGAAAGGUAACUUACCUAGAAGGAAGUUAACAGGAACGUGAAGAAUGCACUGAGUCUCCUCUUCAGUCAUACAAAUUGUGUGUUGAGGCUACUGGAGAUCUGUAGGAACUGAAACAGUUUCAUUGGUAGACUUGAGUGAAAUAGUUCCCCUAAAAAGAAAUGUAGAAAUGGAAAGGAGAGGGUUAAUUAAAGUGAUAUUCUAGCAAUGCAAGAAUACAAAAGUAGUUGGCUUCUAGAGUGGUAUAUAAAAUAUUACUCUUUAAAAAAAUUAUAAUCUUGGUAGUCUAACAUACUGGUCAAGAACAUGAAACUUGGAGACAAAUUAUCUGAAUUCAAAUAAAAUCUCUAAAAGCU